UACGAAGGGGGCUAGCGUUGCUCGGAAUCACUGGGCGUAAAGGGUGCGUAGGCGGGUCUUUAAGUCAGGGGUGAAAUCCUGGAGCUCAACUCUGGAACUGCCUUUGAUACUGUCGGUCUAGAGUAUGGAAGAGGUGAGUGGAAUUCCGAGUGUAGAGGUGAAAUUCGUAGAUAUUCGGAGGAACACCAGUGGCGAAGGCGGCUCACUGGUCCAUUACUGACGCUGAGGUGCGAAAGCGUGGGGAGCAAACAGG
rnacentral:rRNA from 1 species